AUACGGAGGGUGCAAACGUUGUUGGGAAUUACUGGGCGUAAAGCGCGCGUAGGCGGUUUGUUAAGUCAGAUGUGAAAGUCCACAGCUCAACUGUGGAAGUGCAUUUGAAACUGGCAGACUUGAGUACUGGAGGGGGUGGUGGAAUUCCCGGUGUAGAGGUGAAAUUCGUAGAUAUCGGGAGGAAUACCGGUGGCGAAGGCGACCACCUGGCCAGAUACUGACGCUGAGGUGCGAAAGCGUGGGGAGCAAACAGGAUUAGAAACCCUAGUAGUCC
rnacentral:rRNA from 1 species